UACGGAGGGUGCAAGCGUUAUCCGGAUUCACUGGGUUUAAAGGGUGCGUAGGUGGGUUGGUAAGUCAGUGGUGAAAUCCCCGAGCUUAACUGGGGAACUGCGUCUGAUACUGGAUGGCUUGAGUUUGGGAGAGGGAUGCGGAAUUCCAGGUGUAGCGGUGAAAUGCGUAGAUAUCUGGAGGAACACCGGUGGCGAAGGCGGCAUCCUGGACCAACACUGACACUGAGGAGCGAAAGCCAGGGGAGCAAACGGG
rnacentral:rRNA from 1 species